rnacentral:rRNA from 1 species
UACGAAGGGGGCUAGCGUUGUUCGGAAUCACUGAGCGUAAAGGGCGCGUAGGCGGCUUUAUAAGUCGGGGGGUGAAAGCCUGUGGCUCAACCACAGAAUUGCCUUCGAUACUGUAGAGCUUGAGACCGGAAGAGGUAAGUGGAACUGCGAGUGUAGAGGUGAAAUUCGUAGAUAUUCGCAAGAACACCAGUGGCGAAGGCGGCUUACUGGUCCGGUUCUGACGCUGAGGCGCGAAAGCGUGGGGAGCAAACAGG